rnacentral:rRNA from 1 species
GACGAACGCUGGCGGCGUGCCUAAUACAUGCAAGUUGAGCGAUGAAGAUUGGUGCUUGCACCAAUUUGAAGAGCAGCGAACGGGUGAGUAACGCGUGGGGAAUCUGCCUUUGAGCGGGGGACAACAUUUGGAAACGAAUGCUAAUACCGCAUAACAACUUUAAACAUAAGUUUUAAGUUUGAAAGAUGCAAUUGCAUCACUCAAAGAUGAUCCCGCGUUGUAUUAGCUAGUUGGUGAGGUAAAGGCUCACCAAGGCGAUGAUACAUAGCCGACCUGAGAGGGUGAUCGGCCACAUUGGGACGGAGACACGGCCCAAAAUCCUACGGGAGGCAGCAGUAGGGAAUCUUCGGCAAUGGACGAAAGUCUGACCGAGCAACGCCGCGUGAGUGAAGAAGGUUUUCGGAUCGUAAAACUCUGUUGGUAGAGAAGAACGUUGGUGAGAGUGGAAAGCUCAUCAAGUGACGGUAACUACACAGAAAGGGACGGCUAACUACGUG